GCGCGUGCUGCCGUUAGGGAGCGAGCGUUGGGUAAAGCCCUGCUCUGUCUUAGAGGGGAGCGGGACGUGGGGGAAAAGGGGACGGCUGCGGGGAAAGGGGUCGGUCCCGAGGCUUCGGAUUGUGGCACUUAUAGGCGCUGCAGCUCCUUGGAGUGUCUCUAGCUCCGGUGGGAGUCACGCGUUAGGAGUGCUGCCGGGGGCGGUGCGAGGCGGAGCAGCCGAUUUUCUCGAACGUUUUUUGUUCGCUGUGUAUCGCGCUUGUAGGAUGGUGGCUGAUGCAGUCGCUGGUCAGAUAAUGCCGUAACUGCCAGUUGUUGCAGAGCAUCUCCAGUUUUCCGGGAGCAUAAAAUAGCGAGCCUAGCGCAUUUGGGAAGCCUCUGAUCUCUGCCUAAAGCGUAACCGCAGCCCGCUUUGAUGGGGGGAUGUUCUGGGUUUCUACGUGUUUGUUAAGCCUCUAAAGAAAGCAUGGAGUCCAUGGCGUGACAUCCGGCUGUGCUGUCGGAACUCAUUCCCUCUCAAGCCUAUCCUUUGCGUUUACAGUGCCUUUCUGCUUCCUGAAGUCAAAUAUGAGAGAUGCUGUGGGAGUUGAAAUACCAAGGGAGAACGUUGGACAGCUUUUAAAUGUGGAGAGAUAGCAGUCUUAAAAUGACUGUUCAUGAAAAUAGUCAACAUGAGUUAGGAAGUGACAGCCUCAGGAAAGAUUGAAGUAAAAGGUGCUUGGAGUGUGGACUUGAAUGGUGGUGGGAUAGGGUGGAAUGGUUUGAAUCACCAUGGAUAGUUGCAGUGGUUCUGGGUUUUUUUUUAAGCUUAUGAGGAAAUACGAGGACAAAGUUUCAAGGAAACUAGCAGAGAUUUCAAACAAAACUCUUCAGGAAGUAGGGUGAAUUGGCAUCAAAGAGAGCAAUACUUUGUUUUUCAUUUCAGAUUAGAUUACCCAUGGAAACAGAAAAACAGGGCAACAUUCAGGGGGUUGUGGAAAUUCAUUGAAAUGCUAGAGUUAGGAUGAUAAUAAAGUAGAAAUAAAAAUCCUUUUUCACCAUUUCCAAUGAAUCUUUUGAAAGUUCACAUGUUAACAUACUGGUCAUUUGAACAGUAUUAUCAGCUCAAAUCAGCUUUUUUAAAAAAAUUUUUAUUCCCAGAUUACAAGAAUAAAAUAGACCUUUGCUAAACGGAGCGUCUUAGGGCAGAAGAACACAGCUUUAUCCACCAGUCCUCCACUUCAAACCAAUUAGAAACAGAGAGAGACGAGAGUUUGGAUUGGAUGGAUGAAUGGGUUGAUAGGGAGCCUGACACUAUCCUGCUCCCACCAGUUUUAGAAAUCUAUCUUUAGUAUCUUCUUUCACAGCUUAUUCUUUGUGUGAGUAUACUUACUGUCACUGUAAGCCUUUACUGUCUGCUCAUGUUUGUGACACAUUCUGUUCUACAUUCGUAGCUGUCCUCAUUUCUCUUGGAAAUUCAGGACUUCAUGCAUCCAAAAAACAUUGACUAGAUUUAGAUAGAUAGUGUUUUUCUUGUUCUGUGUGAUUGCAGAAAGACACUGAAGCAUUUCACUAAAGGCCUCAAAUAUGUUGUUAAAUACAUCAGCAGUAUGUUGCAGGUAGGGAAGCCUCUGGAUAACAGAUAAUUUUGGAUCAUGGCGCAUUAGGGUUGGGCUCAAGAUGUGUUGAAAGAAGUUCAUAGUAAAGAAUCUCUUACAUAAAAUUAAUCACUUCCUUGUCAGGAAAUUCCCUGGACACGGAUCUCUGGAAUGUGGCACAUUACUUGAGGACAAAUUUGCCUGUAUGUUCACCUUGUCCUAAUUUUUAGAUGCACAUUUUUUAUUAGUCUUGGAAGCGGGAUUCUAGGCCUUGUUAAGCCAUGCUGUUAUCCAGAGUGGUUGUACUUACAUAUUUAAGUUAUGUUUGUUCCUUCAAGCCUAGUUUUGGGUGCAGUAUUCUAUCACUGGCAUGCCUAAGAAAAAACUCAGUUUUCUCAUAUUUCACUGUGUUACUAUCAGAAUCUGACGGUUACGUAAGAAGGGAAUAAAAGACCUGCAGCUUUUUACUAGAUUAGAUAACACACACAGUUCCACCAACACUUGAUUAUAAAUAACACAUGCGAGGUUUUUUUUUCUUCCUACUGUAGAAUGAGAUAAAUAAUACUUUCAGACAACAACACAUAUCUGUGCAGUUGCACAGUUUGUGUGGGCUGUUCUAAGAAGGACUCCAGGGAUUGUCCUUCCCCUGCCUUCUGUAGAGCAGAAUUUUACAACUGCUUGUGUAAGUCUUGGUUGCCCUCAUUCAGCAGGGUGCCUACAAAAUGUUAAGCCUUCAGUAUAGUGAGGUAGAAGUACAUUGCUUAUGAUUUUAAGCUAUUAAUUUGAUGUUUCUGUAAGCAAUUGUACAUGUAGUGCGUGCAGCCUGAUUAAAUACAAGAUGACCAUAAGAGUGUUUUGUCUUUAAUUAUGCCUCUUGUAAAUUAUAUAAAAUUACCUUGAUUUAAGGUUUUCAGAAAUAAACAGCACUGUAAACAAAAUGAAGCAAAACCAAUGCAGGCUGAGAGAACAGGUAGUGGACCUGAAGCUUAAUGCCUGGAAGUCUGGAGCUGUGUAUGACAGUCUCUCUUGAUGUAUAUCCCAAGAAAAAAGUAGUUAAUCCAAGGAAAGUUGCUCCAUCUCAUGAGAAAUGUGGUAACUGCUUUCCAGCUACUUUCCCUCUAUUUCUUUAAAGGUAGUUACCUAUCCAGCUGUUGUAAAUUUUGCUAGGGUAUGUAGAAAAAAAUAAAACUAGUUGGAGAUUCAAUUAGGUAAAAUAAUGUUCAUACUUUUUUAAUUUUUAAAUGUUACUGUUCCUGAGAGUGAGUUGUUCUGCUAAGAAACUAUUAAUACUUUUUCUUUAAAAAAAAAAAAAAGAAAAAAAAAAAAGAAAAUAUGAGAGAGUAUAUCAAAAUGUACUUAGAAAAAUCUUGAACUUCUGAAGACCUUAGUGAUCUUUGAAUCACUUCAGAUGUGGCUAAAGAAUAAGGAAUAAUGAAUCCUUAGAUGCAACUCCAUUUUGUUUCAGUUUGUUUGUUGUUGCUUGGUAGACUUUUUGGAGCUUUAAUAAGGUAGCUCCAGCAGGCAGAAUUCUAAGUGCAAAAAUGCUCAGCAUUUGUGCAGUAAAGCAAGUACUGACAUUUCUGCAGUACAGCCUUUAGCAGAAGUACUUUUUAAACUCUUUUUUUAGGCAUGAGCUGCAACAAAGUUGCUUUUCCAGCUUGGCCUUCAAUGUUCAGGUAAGCUUAUCAGAUCUAGACAGCUACAGCUAUCUCUGGCAUUUUUGUGCAGUACUGCAGCGUGGGUUUUUCAAGAAAUUCUAACUCUCUUCUAACUAACUUCUGAAAUAGGGCACUCAAAGUUAUUUAAUUACACUUACUAAGUAUGAUAGCACUAUCGAAUAGAAAAAAAGCCACUACAGAUAGGAUAAAUGGUUAACUACAUGUUAGGUAAGGAUCCCAUGAAAAAUAGAAAGAAGGCAAAGUAUAACAGAGCUGAAAAUACCAGCAAAAGACAUAUACAGAUGAACAAAGAGGGAGUUUAUGGUGAGAUCCAAUAAAGGACUUGCAUACCUAAAGCAAGCUUUAAGAGGAAUUUAAGUACUGAGGUUCUAAAAAAGAGAUCUAAGAAAUCUCGCACAGCUGCUGCCUAAGUGGGAAGAUGCCUGAAGUCAGAAAACUUUUUAAUUUAUAUCCCUAGAGUGGCUAGGGUUUUAUUUCUCCAGCAGCUGGAACUGCUGCAGAACUUCUCUGCACUUACUCUUAAACCAGUCUUCAACUGAGUUGUCAAAGUGACUCUACUUUGUCAGUAUUUUCAGGCCCCACCAAACACGUUGUUGUAUUCAGAGAUUCUUAAAGUUAGGUCUAUUUGCUUGCUUUUCACAUUUAUGUGAAGGAUGACAAGAUGGAGUAACUUUUUAUUUAACAAUCUAUCUUCAGUUACAUAUCUGAGCUGCAAGAUUCAGUUUGUUUCUAUCUAGGAGUUUUCAAACUUGUCUCAUCUCUCCAAGUAAUUUAUCCUAAAGUGUGACAGCAUGAAUUUAAAUUGUCUUGGGAGCAUGAAUUAGAGAUGAGGAUGUCAUUUCCUGCUGAAUGCCCUAUUCUUUGGGAUAAAUCUCACACUUUAUUUCUGUCCCUAUAGACUUUGAAUCCUUUUCUUCUCAGUGGCACAGCUUUAACAGGAUCGGAGGAGAGUCAUCUUUGUUUUUAAUAUCCUAUUUCUUGUUGAGUAGAAUCACUUUUCUUUAUUUAAAGAAAAUAUUUAUCGAUUUAAAUCUUUUUGAUUUAAUGAGGGCCUGCAAUGGCAAUGGGUUGCUCUAUGAGAGGUGCUUUUCUUCCUUCUGUUAUCUCGGCCAUGAUUUAACAGAAUGGUAGUUGGAUCCUACAGAUAGAGAGGACUGUGGAGAGGACACAUCAGUGAAAAUUUUAAAAAAAUUAUAUAAAAAAAAUUGGAAUUGCAUAAUUUUUGUGUCCAGAUAACUCAUUCCUUUAGUGGUGCUGGGAUUAAAUGUAUUCCCAUCAAAAAUGAUAGUCAUCACACUUAAUAUGACACUACUGAUAUGGGUGUUUUUGUGUAUGUUUUUAUAUAUAUUAGCAUCAAUUGCUGUUGAUGAGCAAGAUGCAGGAAUCUGAUCUGAUGAUUACAUUUUGGAGUUGUGAAAAUACAGUGGCUGCCUUGAAGACACCAAGUGGAAUUGCUUGUUUCCCUGUUCUUGUGUUCGUUUUUUCCUCCAUGGUGUGAUAUCCAGCAUAGAGCUAUAAAGAUAUGCAUUUCAAAAGAUAGCAGAAUUUUUCUACACUUGCAGGACAAUACAAUUCUAAAUGUGAUCAAUAAGUUUUUAUUUUAGGCUUCUCUGGUUUGAAAACCUUGUCUAGCUCCAGGUAUGAUACAAGUAAUGUUUGUCUUCUCUUUAGGAAGAGAUUCCUUGGACUGAUUGGACUUCUUCCUUCUGCUAUUUUGCCUGCAUUAAUGCUUCACAGUGAAGAAAAAGGAUAAGCUCGUUAUUUAUAAAUGAAUAUAGAGCAAAAGCUCAAGAUAAUGAUUGGGAUUUGUGUUCUGUGCUACAAUUUGAUAUUUAAGCAAUAAUUGAUUCUGAUAUCUUUUUAAAUAUUAUCUGUUUCUUGUUAUAUAUACUUAUGUAUGUUCUCUAAUACAUCUUUGUUAAGUUGGGUGCUUUGCAUCUACUUAUGAUCAUCCUCUGAGAUACAUAUUUUUGUCAAAUAAAGUUCUUUGUUCUUUUGAUUUCUAACAAUUAUGAUGUUCCUUCUUAUACCCUUAAAGAAAAAAAUCGCUGUCAUUAUAUUGCAUUUGUAUUAAAAAUACACCAGUGCUACACAAGAUUUUUUUCUUUCUGUAUUAAGGGUGAUACUUGUUAUACUUGAUAUCUCAAAAGGAAAAAAAAAAUCUAUCAUUUUUGGGUAGUCAGUAAUAGUUGUGGAAGUAAUUUCAAUCUCUUUGUGUACUGAAUUUAAGAAAUAUGCAUAGAAAUUACUUUGUAGCCUCCUCACAAUGUUAAGUGGCAAAACCCCCACAUUUCUUAUUACCACUGUAUCGUACCUCAGCCUGUGAUAGGGUAUAAAAUGAGACUGUCAAGUACCUCUACUUCCAGUGUAAGCUGGUUGUGCUAGUUCUAGAUAAAUCAUUGGUUUUCAAUAUAGUUAAUGAUAAAGUAACCUGUCUUUGAAAAUUGAAAAGCUGUUAAUACAGGUACAGAACUUGGAUUUACUUAUUCUCUUUAGAUCAACUCUUUAGGCUCAAAGAAGUAUGCUCUUUGUCUUAAAUAUUAAUCUACUAUUUUUCUAAUAGAGUUUACAUGCAGCUUUUUAUUACCUAAUGAGUGCCCCUUCAGAAAUUCUGUAAUACUAGGCAACUCUUUUUGGUCAAUGAGAAUAGAAUAUUUUUCAAAGACUAUGAAUAAUACUCUUUACUGAAUCUAGUGUUGUAUGAAGAAAAUGAGCUGAAUGAAAAUUGGUUAAUUUAAACUUAAGGUGCAAAAAAACGUCUAUUCAAUUAGAUGUCCUGUUUGGCAAUAGUUUGCCUCUUAGCAGCCAAGUGAAUUUUCUUGUUUAUUUUGAUUCCUUAAUAUCUCCUUUCUGCUUUGGCUUAUAUCUCUUUUCUAUGUCCUCCUUACUUCUUGAACAUUAGUAGCAUCACACAGUACAUUGUACAUUGUAAGCUGGGUUAUUACAUACAUUUUACCAGUCUUUUGUACAGUGUAGUGCAGGAAAUGUUCUCUUCUGUAUCACUUCUGACAAAAGCAGUUGUUUGCAGGCUUGAAUUCAGAGUCUAUCUGGUGGUGGUUGCGUUUUUGUUUUUUUUUUUUUUCCAACAGAGCACUGCAUCAUACAGAAGAAAAGUGAGCACGCUAAAACAAGUAAAUGAAACAUGAGCUGAGUAAAGAACGUUUACUAUUUCAGUUUUUCUCCUCCCUACUUUUUUUUUUUUUUUUUUUUUUUUUCCUCUGUAUCUUUCCAGUGCAAUAAAACAAUUUCUGGGCUCAGGCUGGUGCCCACAAAUCAUCAAUGCAGAGACAAAAGAGCACUUCAUUUCCUAACUAGAUUCUAUUCAGCAACAAAAUCAAAGAACAUGGGUGUUUUCUUUUUUUCCCCAGUAUGUAUUUGUGCAAAUCUGUCAUUGUAUGCAAUGGUACAGAGUUUCAGUGAUAUGAAUUGAGGCUGGUCACAUUUUCUCAAAGGUAUCUUUAGUGAAUGUAGCCCAUCCAAAAUUAUCUUCAUUGUAUCUUCAGUCCUUGUCACAUGUUACAUAAGCAUUAAAUUUUAGGGAUCCCACUUAAGUAUCUGUGUCCUUCAACUCCUGAUUGUCCAAAAGUGAUAUGGAAACAGCUAAAAGAUCAUGAUACACCCAUACAUGUGAGUGUAACUUUUAAAGCACAUUGCUUGAUAUUUUAUUGGUACUUCUAUUUCUAAUUUUAAAAGAAAGAAAAUCCUACCAAAAAAUCCCUCAGUCCUUUAAGUGAGCAGCUUAUCUUUUUGUUUUUCAGGUGUUUGUUGGCACUCUGUGUCCAUUUCCUAUUUGCUUUUCUCUGAACUCCAGUUAUGUUAGAUCAUUACAGCAGAAAUAUUUAAAAUGAAACAUAAUUAUAGUGUAACUUUAGCAAUACGUCGUAUUUACUUAUAAUGCUUAUGUAAAUAUUUCUAUCACAUUUCAAUUCAUUAUCUUCCAUAGAGUAAUAUCUGAUGACUGAACUAUGUACUUCGAGGUUUUCUCUCUAUAAUAUUAGCCAGUUUGAGUAGGAAUGCUGUGUAGCUUUAUUAUAGUGUUUCCAUUUAGUGAACUGUUCUGAGAAACAAGCCUGGGCAAAAUACCAACCUAACAGGGCCACACUGCUUCUGUUACUUGAACUAACGUGAGCUACUUGUUUAUUUAUGUGAAUGGUGUACCUUAUCAUCUUUUAUUCUCAGCUCAGAAAUAAUAAUUAAAUAUUUUGUUUGUCUACUGCAGUAAAAAGAAGAGAUAUAUUGAAGAUUUUGCAAAACCUGAAACUGAACAGGAUCAAGCUUUUUCCUUGCUAAUCCCCUGCAGAAGUAUAAUUUUCGUGGCUUUUUUUAUUGUAUACCUUUGCAAUGUUUCUUCUAAACAGUUGAUUUUAUAUGCUGUAUGUGAAAGAAGACUAAGGACAGAAAGCAAGGACUUUUUUUGAAGAAGGAAUAAAGAAGUUAUAUUCUUAUACUUGCCUUUUUUUCUGAAAUUUUGUGAAUCCAGUCAAGAGGACUUGGGUCAUUUAGGUAUUUGUGGUUAACACACUGAAAGUUCAGAUCUGUUUAUGCAGGUAAAUACUGCCUGAAUAAAAAAUGAUUUUCAGAAUCAUACAUUUUCCAUGCUUAUAAUAUACAGCUUUCAAAGAAGGUCCCACACUGUAAUCAUGCUAACAGUGAUUUAAAAGGAUCGUCAAAUCCCAAUUAAAAUAUUUGAAAAUCA